rnacentral:rRNA from 1 species
AUUGAACGCUGGCGGCAUGCCUUACACAUGCAAGUCGAACGGCAGCACGGGGCAACCUGGUGGCGAGUGGCGAACGGGUGAGUAAUGCAUCGGAACGUACCUUUCAGUGGGGGAUAACGUAGCGAAAGUUACGCUAAUACCGCAUAUUCUGUGAGCAGGAAAGCAGGGGAUCGCAAGACCUUGCGCUGAUUGAGCGGCCGAUGUCAGAUUAGCUAGUUGGUGAGGUAAAGGCUCACCAAGGCGACGAUCUGUAGCGGGUCUGAGAGGAUGAUCCGCCACACGGGAACUGAGACACGGUCCAGACUCCUACGGGAGGCAGCAGUGGGGAAUUUUGGACAAUGGGGGCAACCCUGAUUCAGCCACGCCGCGUGAGUGAAGAAGGCCUUCGGGUUGUAAAGCUCUUUCGGCCGGGAAGAAAUCGCACGGGCUAAUACCCUGUGUGGAUGACGGUACCGGAAUAAGAAGCACCGGCUAACUACGUGCCAGCCGCCGCCGUAAAAC